rnacentral:rRNA from 1 species
GAUGAACGCUAGCGGCAGGCCUAAUACAUGCAAGUCGAACGAGAUUGAGGAGCUUGCUCCUCAUGAAAGUGGCGCACGGGUGCGUAACGCGUAUGCAAUCUACCUUAAUCAGGGGGAUAGCCCGGAGAAAUCCGGAUUAAUACCGCAUAACGUUAUUUUAUGGCAUCAUAGAAUAACCAAACAUUUAUGGGAUUAAGAUGAGCAUGCGUGACAUUAGUUAGUUGGUGAGGUAACGGCUCACCAAGACUACGAUGUCUAGGGGAUCUGAGAGGAUGGCCCCCCACACUGGUACUGAGACACGGACCAGACUCCUACGGGAGGCAGCAGUAAGGAAUAUUGGUCAAUGGGCGCAAGCCUGAACCAACCAUGCCGCGUGCAGGAAGACGGCCCUAUGGGUUGUAAACUGCUUUUAUUCGGGAAUAAACCUCUUUACGUGUAAGGAGCUGAAUGUACCGAAGGAAUAAGGAUCGGCUAACUCCGUGCCAGC